UUCAGAAAAUUCAGAGCCGAGGAAACUUGCGAGACUCGCCAGGACCUGAGAAUCGCUUCCACUUUGUAGAAUUUAGCGUCCGGAAUAUAUUCAGGGGAGCUUUGGGCUCUAACUACAGGAACAACAGGCGUAUUUCUUACGUGCUUUAUAGUAGUGUUGAACUGAGAAAAUGGAGAAUCUCUAAGCUUGGGACGAAUGGAGGUGGAAUCAAAAAGAGUUAAAUGUUUGCUGAG
rnacentral:misc_RNA from 1 species